rnacentral:misc_RNA from 1 species
AACGCACAUUGCGCCCCGUCGGUAUUCCGGGGGGCAUGCCUGUUCGAGCGUCAUUACACCACUCAAGCCUCGCUUGGUAUUGGGCCUUCGUCCCUGCAGCGGACGGGCCCCAAAGACCUCGGCGGUGAAGCGUCGGCCUCAAGCGUAGUAGAAUCCUAUCCCGCUUACAGAGGCCGCGAUUCGCCCGCUCCGAAAACCCAGCACCUUAAGGUUGACCUCGGAUCAGGUAGGGAUACCCGCUGAACUUAA